CAGCAGGAGCAGAGAGCAGCAGCAGGAGCAGAGAGCAGCCAUUGCUGUGUCUGGCAGCAGGAUUCUACAGACUUCUCGGCUGGUGGCCGUGACGGAGUUUGGCCUGCAUGACGCAGGGUCUUCUGUCCUGGCGGCUUAGACAUGCAGGGGACGGGGGCGACACCAAUGGACUGCGGAUACAGAGUAAGGAUUACACAGUAGUAAGGAAGACAUCCGGUGAGUGUGAGACACCCAGCAGCCGUCCCCGUGUGUCAGGAGGACUGAGCAGGACCCAGAGCCCCAUCACGUUGCCACCACCUCACUGACUGAUACAUGAGAGGCACAGUGACCAGAAGAUCCUGGAAUUCACCAACAAGAUCAUUCAGCUGCUGACUG